UACGAAGGGGGCUAGCGUUGUUCGGAUUUACUGGGCGUAAAGCGCACGUAGGCGGAUUGUUAAGUGAGGGGUGAAAUCCUGGAGCUCAACUCCAGAACUGCCUUUCAUACUGGCAAUCUAGAGUCCGGAAGAGGUAAGUGGAACUCCUAGUGUAGAGGUGGAAUUCGUAGAUAUUAGGAAGAACACCAGUGGCGAAGGCGGCUUCUGGUCUGAUACUGACGCUGAGGCGACGAAGCGAUGG
rnacentral:rRNA from 1 species